UCCGGAGUAAGAAUGGAGGCGUGGACCUGAGCAGGGGCGUGGCCAAGAGUAAGAGGAAGGUUACGGCCAGGUGCAAGACUUGAGACCCCGACGGGGGCGGGGCGAAGCGCUGGAGCCUGUGCUAUCACUCAGAGCUGUCUGGACAGCCCUGGAGAGCUGCCUCACCUGCCACUAUUGAACCGGGCGUUAUCCAGGCUACAUUGCGCUCUGCCAAGCCGUGUCCCCUGCCAGCCCUGUGAGAUCGAAAGGAGAGAGACAGACAGACGGACAGGUACAAGUCCUGCGGGCGCUGUGGAAGAUGCUACUUUCUGUGAGCCGGAACUUUGCCCAUGGACCUGCACAAGUGUAACAGAAUGAAGAUACUGGUUUCCACUUUCCCCUUCUUUGUGAUGAUAUGAAGAUUGAAGAAGUUGGUAUAUGUAAGGGUCUUGGUGCUAGGGUCACGCUACAUGCUGACCUUGACUGUUGGUGGACCUACAGCUGUGAGGAAUGGGCAAUCUGUCCAUCUGCUACAACAGCCCCAGGACAAGACCCGACUCAACAUAGUCUCUUCUGAAUGAAAAAGUGAUCACUUGCGUAUAGUACCUUAUGAAGGCUAUGUCUGGAGAACUCCUCAAUGCAGAGAUGGCAUCUUCUCCCCUGAGUUUUUCUGCAAGAUGAUGAGCAGAAGAUGAGCCAGUUACAAAGGCAUGUUGACUGUGACUCCUGUGGUACUUGACUUCUCCCCCAAUCCUGAGCCCAUUCAGUGACUACCUGCUCAUCUUCCAUGGUGAGCUGCACCUUCAUGAGUUCCCACUCCAUGGCGAUUGGGCCCUGUUCUUCAUCCCUGUGUGUGAAAGUCCAGGAGCUACACCACAGGGUGUGCAGGACUGUCUACCCAUCCCUACUGUCUGUUGCCUGCAGGUGACAGCCAGCUGUUUUGUGGUCCUAGUGAUCCUUUCCAUCUUCUCCUGCUGGAGAGUACAUAAUGCCACUCUCCGUGAAGUCUUCCGCGGUCUUCUCAGACAAGUUCCAGAUAGAGCUCCAAGCAACUCUUCAGGACAAGGAUGAACCUAAACAUCCUUGGGCAAACAAUCACUGGCCCCUAUCUCUAGCCUGCUCUAACUCCCAUGUACCCUCAGGCCUCUCCUGUUAGACCUUUUAUGGAAACACUGCUUGCCUUCCACACAGGCCUCUCUGUUUUGCUUGAAUGUUUACUACCUAUUCAGAUCCAAAUAAACCCUCAUUUCAGUACCAGCAAGGAGCCCUCCCUCAGGUUCACUUGGAUUGUGCUAUCCCAGCUGCACAGGUCAAUAAAAUAUGAAAGCCUUUCUUUA